CACGUCAUGAGUAGGCGCCGGCGACGGGUUUUUAUACUGCGUGGUAAGCAGUAAUAGUGUGACAAGCAUCGCAGACAGACUAUACGUAUCGCUGUCUCCAAUUCGCACAGACAUCACCAUGAAAUACAUUGUGUGGUUGGUGAUAGCGGUGGUGGCCUUGCUAAUACUGGCAAUACCAGCAGUAAUGGGUCGAAAUUUGCUCAGCAGACUGAGGCGCUCGCCCAGAAAACACAUGCAACGCGGAUGUAUCCCCGAAUGGCUGUGCUCUUCUGAGCAAGAUCCUCACUGGUUCCUUGCACAGUAAUGUUAAUGUUAACCGUGCAACCACGGAACUGCACACGCACACGCGCACACACACACACACACACACACACACACACACACACACACACACACACACACACACACACACACACACUAACUUAAUCACUACCCAUGAUAUCUAUACACUCAUAGUCCAUGCAUAUUAGAACUACACCAACUGCGAUCUGAUCUAUGCAAAUGCUUGUCGAGUAUACUCACAUUUUUUACCAUUUCACUGACCUUGCAGUGGCAAUAUAUGAAUUGGGCAUCACAUAUUGUUGUAUGUAUUAUGUGCAUAUACAUGUAUGUAGUUUUCAUUCAUUUCAUUACAAGUUCCUCCUUUUGACAUUUGAUUUUCUGAGAUAUGCUAGUACUAAACAAAUCUGUGGUCACACUUUCUUUUCAUUUAGACAAUAGUUUUUUUUUAAUUGUCAAAAUUUUCAGAUAAGGAAAAUUGCAUGCAUGACUUUUUAAACAUCUUGUGCAAUUUACGAGAAUUGUAAAAAUUAUUUAUGUUACCCUUUCAGAGAGAGAGAGAGAGAGAGAGAGAGAGAGAGAGAGAGAGAGAGAGAGAGAGAGAGAGAGAGAGAGAGAGAGAGAGAGAGAUUCCAAAAAUAUUGAAUUUAACAUACAGAUAAUUCAGUCUUACUUUGCAUAUCUUCACCCAUUCAAAGCCAUAGUGUCAAAUUUGAUGGUUUAUAGAAUUAGUACGUACGUGUACCUAAUGCAAAAAAGUUAGAAUCAAGAAAUUCUACAUCUUAUGAAUAGUUUAAAAAUAAAUGCUAACCCAGAAUUA